GCGCUCACUUCAGGAGCAUAUAUGCUAAAAUUGGAAAAAUAUAGAGAAGAUUAACAUGACCUCUGUGCAAGAAUGACGUGAAAAUUCAUGAAGUGUUCCAUAUCAAA